rnacentral:siRNA from 1 species
GAUUGAUCGUUGCUCUGAAG